GCUUCCCUUAAAAGACAGGGCUGGAAACAACCUUAGAGGGAAGGCUAAGAGCCUAGACAGCUGUAAAGAACAGCAGCCAUAGCACUUCCGAAGGGGGGAAUAUCAGAGACUCCAGGGAAUGAAGUUUCCAGAUGCUCAGUGGAACGGACUGCUAAGAAGGCUAUCCCAAGGAUGAUGCUAAAGACAGAAGGCCAGUGAAUGGUCGCGGGAAGGCAGGGCCAGUUCCCCCACCUUCAGUGUAAGGUGUAAACCUGGUGACCUCAGAGCCGGCGUGCCGGGAACAGGGCCUCCAGCACCGCUGAGUGACCUCCCUGGUAUGUUGAUUGAUUUGUUUGUUUUCCUAGGUUUAGUGGUGAGGAAUGGAGGUUCUGGGAUCUGAAUCCUACUCAUCUUCCAAUUUCUCUUCUCUGGGGAAGUUGAAGGGCAGGGAUUACAGGGUUCCAUUUAGGAAAACACUCAGAACCAGCUUCACAUGACCAUGAACCCAGGCAGCCCUCAGUCUGCAGAUUAAUCUCAGCAACCACAAGGAACUGAGGCUGUGGUACUGCCCGCCUCCUGGAGCUCUCUCAGCCUCUCAGGACAGGAGAUCUGACUUUCCUCCUUCCUCUGUGAUUGGCCAACCCCUCAAUUCUCCUUUAUUAAUGAAGAGUUUGCUACCCAAAGAUCUACAGAAAUCAGUGAACACAUUCAGUGUGACAUAGAGCUAUGGACAUUUCUUCCUCGUCAGCAUUUCCAUAGCAGUGAAAAGAUCAAUGGAAAGUACUUAAUUAAUAGCUAUGCAUUGAA